AUUCCUUUGUGUUUCAUAAGCACAAUGCCUGAGUAUUCAUACAUUUAGGUGCUUUUGAUUCCAUCAAACUUUGUAAUAUUACUGGGACAUUCCUUAUGUGAAA
rnacentral:snoRNA from 1 species